GUCUGAGGUUCCCGUUAGGGAGCUGCUGCAAUCGGUCCAUCUGACAUCUUCAGACCUAUGCCUGCAUUUUUCUCCCCUGACUACGGCUGACUCACUGACUGCAUCUUCCCCGAAGUGCGUUGGAGAAGCAGCCAGCUUACGGGUGACACUUGCUGCCCCCUCUUUCCCCUGGCAGGGUGACUGAUGGGCAGAUCUCUGAGCCUGGUGAGGGGCGGUGAGCUCCCCAGGGACCGCGCUGUGCCAUGCUCAGCAAUAAAGAGCUGCUGUGAGCACAGCGCUGGAGAUGUUUUGCUGUUUCGGUCGGUCUCAUGGUGGCCGUGGAGCCAGCCUGUAGCUGUACUUUGCUUUCUGUGUGCUUUCUUUCACAAGCUCUGAAAGUAGAAACUUGCAGAAACAGCUGGAGCUGCUGGGUGAGAAGAAAACCAUAUCAGGAACUGAUUUGAAUGGGAGUAACAAAAAGUUGCUGACCGGGAGGUCAGGGCUAAGGGAAGGUAGAGGCAGAGUGCCGGAGCGUGCGGCGGAGCGGGCUCAGUGCGCUGCCCUGGCUGCCCCAGUGCAGCUCUCACCAUAUAUAGCCAGCAGCUCAUGCUUUCUGCCAUGCUACCCUUUGAGACUUCAAAGAUCUCGCUCCUGAUGCAAAGCUGAGCUUCCAGUCUUCGUGGUGUUGCUGCAGCAUGCUCCAAAGGAGGCCCUGGUUUUCCUGAGAAGUUACUGGGGAGAACCCUUUUGUGGCCAAAAUAUCCAGGACUCAGCAUCCAUCCUUGAUCUCUGGAAGCCGUCUACAUAAUUCUCAAACGUUGAGAACAAAGCCAGAUGGAGCUUCGAAUGGGAGAAAAGCGUGAUUCCUGAACUGUCACCCAUGGCCCACCUUAAGGUCUGGUAAGGCCAGCUUGAUCAAAUAGAUGCACGGGGACCCUAGAGACAUUCAAAGGUUGAGCCAAAAUAUUCUGUGAGGACUGUGAUAGAAAUGGCUGGGGCAGAUUGUUCCUCCGUCAUCAGCUCUGCCUUAAAGAAAGCACUGCUGUUUUAAAUGAAGAGUGAGUAAGUGCCUUUGAAGGAUAUAGCAGGUCAGUGCAUUGGCUGAGGACCACAGCAACAGCUCCAGCUUCGCCCUGUGCAGUGUGUUUCCACCUUGCAGAGUACAACAGCAACAAGCUGUAUUUAACCAGCACCUCCGUGCACCCCACGAAAACAGUCUCUGCUGGCUGCAGCCCCGAGUCGAGGCUGGAAGCAUCAUCGUGGUGCUACGUGGUCAGGAGAAAGGGGCACGUGGGAUGUGAGAGGCAGGUGGAAAACCUCAUGCUGGAAGUGUGGGAUACGCAACUUUGCUGACUUGCUUGGAAGGCGUCCCACCUCGUUCUCCAUGUCACAGGUCUGCUGCUGGGUGUGUCAAACGACAGCUCUGCCCUCUGCAGAAAGUGAUGUGAGGAUUUCCUGCUGGCUUCAGGCUGCUCCACAGCCUUACCUGACCUCUGCCUGGGCUACAAGCAAGCCUGAGCUCUGGAAACUCUCAGGUGCAGAAAGCUCGUGUUUGGAGAAAGCCCCCUCUACCAGGUCCGUUACUGGCUUCCUCAUCGGUGAGGGACCUUUGGCACAGCCACCUGGCAUGCCAGGCGUGGGCUCGUUAACUUAAUCUGCCACCCGGGCUGGCCGAAGGUUAUAGAAAGCUUCUGGAGAACACCAGACCUCAGCAGAGAGACGUGUCCUGUCCUGGGGCUGGGAGGUAAAAUCUCGCUCAGCCUCUUGUGGAUCACGGCACCCUCUGGAGCGGGAGCACCCCGGGGUGGCCCCCGUGCAGGGCUGGGGGGCUGCAGGUGGCACCGCCAGGGCUGGCUGCUGGCAUCGCUCGGAGCUGCUGCUGCCAAGUCCCCGCGCUGGCAGGGAGCAGGAGAGCGAGCUGCAGAGGGAGCCGCGCUGUUACGAGGUGACAGGAACAAGACCUCAAGCCACGGCCAGUAACGCGCAGGUAAAAAUAUACUUUUCAUUACGAACCAAAAUAAGGGUGGGACCGAGAGUGGCUCUUUCCUCCUUUUUCCAGUAUUACUUCAUAGAGCACUUGUAGAAGACAUCCCCUUCCAUGGAAUUUGUGCUUGGCUGACGAAUUUGUGACGUCUUCGCACAAGGGCUCAUUGAAAGAUGCCCUCGAUCCAAGGUGCCACCAGUUCCUGGGAGAGCGUCCCGUCUGUGCUGCUCUCCGUGAACCCACCCUCAGGACACCGCGGCAUGAGAUGUAUUUUGGAGAUGAGCAAUGGACAGAAGUAGCUGCUGAUGCAAGUGGCUGAGAGGAGCAGGCACUUUAUUCUGCAGAGCAGUGACCAGAGCCCAGCUGAAAGCAGCGUGGCCGUGUUCGGGCUGCACAAGCAGGGCAGCACUGACUUGAACAAGAGGCAGCAUCGUGAGCAUGCUGAAACCAGCGCUGCUGGCACCGCUGCACCAAGCAGUGCCCGGCUUUCACAAGCCUCUGCAAAACAAGAGAAAUGUAAUACCCACCUCGUUACCAGCACCAGUUCCCAAACUUCUCAGUGAAGAGCUGAAAGAAAACUCACAUCCCUCCCUGGACAAAGCUUUGCUGCUCUUCUGCUGUCCGGCUGUGAGUUCGAGAGGUGCAUGCCGCUCGGGGAUAGCUCCCCAUGCCCACAAGGAGGUGGCUUCACACCACGCCUGAGGGACCUGCUGAGGCUGCCAGAUCCCCACCGGGCUGUUCUGGAACAUGUGGUGACAGCAGUUGGUGGCCAGAUGAGAGGGGGUCUGCAGAUAGCCAGUGCCAACAGGUGCCAAAGAGGCCUCUGCCCUGAGCAGCCAGAGCAGAAAGCCCCAGCUUGUGCUCCCUGAUGGUCCAUGCUGCAGCAUCUCUGGUAAGGAGCCCGGCAUGUGUGGGGCUGAGAGCUCAGUGCUGACAGUGCGUUGGGCCUGCUGAGCGAGAUUGGGAGAUGGCUUUUCUCAAAAUCUGCAUUUAAUUGAUUGUAAGUGGGGUUUGUUUGUUUCUUUGUUUGUUUUGGCCGUGUGUUUGGGGGUUUUUGAUUUGUUCUGCCAUGCAAGAAGAACUAAGUCACACUGAUUUUUCUUUCUUUCUUUUUCUUUUUUUAUUUUUUUUUUCAUUUUAUUUCUAUUUUCUCCAUUUAAAAUAGGUCCCUAGAUCACUUAAGACUUUGGCCAUUGUAUAGCUUUCUAUGGUGCCACAUGGCUACAGGCUCCAGGGCUAUGGUCAUUGAAAAAAUCCUCCUAAGGGAAUUCCUAAGGGAAUUUUCUGAAAGGAUGAGGUUUGCUAUAAGGUAUCUUAGUCGUGCUCAUGCAGGCAUAUUGUUACUACAGAAGAGAUUUCUUGGCAACCGUGGGCUCCUGGGCUUAUAUUUCAGCAUCAGUGAAAGAGGCUGUAAAGAGCAAGAGCUCUUCGGAAAGUCCCCCUUGGGUUCCUGAUAUGACAAAACUACCAUUUGACCUCAAGCCAAGUAUGUCUCAAGUAUGAGACCCUCUCUGUUUCUAAAGUGAUUUGAGACAUGCACGUUUCUGUAGAAAUGCAAGCCGGGGCUGCUGUAUGAUGCCCUGUAGCCCAGUGGGUCUGGAGGAACUGGUUCGCUGCCCAUAGCCAAAAAAGCAGUUCUUCAAAGCAGUGCCUGUCACAGCUUCCUUUGCUGUGGGCUCUUUAAUUUUGUGGUUAUGACCUGCAGUUUAUUUCUGUGGCAACGACUGUGUUGUUGUAAUAAUCACAUAAUCACUUCACUGCUAUUAGAAGAGGUUUAUCUGUGAGUAUCAUUUUAGAAACAACGGUCUGGGUCCAGAUCUUCAAAGACGCAUCCACAGACACCAAGCUGCAUUGAUGUCAGUGAAGCAAAACGAAUGCCCCCAACUGAAAUAGCAAGCAAACAAAAUUAAAGCUGAUGUGGGUUUCUUGGGCAUUGAGUCAGAAGGCAGCGAGCUGAGCACGCGGCUGUUUCUCCUCUCGCCUGCCUCAGCAGGACAGACCUACAGGGAGCCGAGGCCGUGGCCAGCACAAACGCUCUCAUCGGUGCUUCACUUCACUUUUUCACUUCACUGCCAGCGCCCGUCUCUGUUUUCCCUUCCUCAAGGACUUCCAUUACUCAUGGACUGUUUUCCUUCCCUCUGCUAAGUGAUGUACGAACUGUUUGUACACUCCAGGCUGGCUUCUGACGUCCGUCCCUUCUGUGUGCGCGCAGAGCGAGGGCGCUCCCCGCAGCGCAGCGGGUCAGCGGGCUGCCAGGCCGCAGGCUGGGCCCAGGGGGAAGGCGAGGGCUUGCCACCAGCUCUCAGGGAUCAGAAUUUGUCCCAGCUCCUCCAAUUACUUACUAGUUUUGAACAUGUCGUAUCUCUUCACUGACGAGUUCAGGACGUAACAUGGGCUCCACUGGGAUGAAUGCCGAGUGCAAUCAGUGGGAGGCUAAGGGAGAAACAUCUUCCCUUGGUUCAAACUCCUGAACGGCCAUAGGUCAUGCUUCCUAGUUCUAUCUGCUGUGGGUUCUGUUCGCUUUAAGCUUUUUUAGAACAUAGUCAAGGUUUUUUGUUUUCAGGUGUACACACACAUGCCUGUUGAAUUAAAUAAAUGAGCAGCCUGCCCACGUGAGGCCAUCCUACCGAGGAUGUGUAGGACACCACACCCACCUAGUCUUUAAUGCCAUGCCUUGGUUUGAAUGAUAGUCUUUUGUAAUGUGUUGAUUGACUCUAUUUUAAGGGAAUGCCUAACAGAAGUCAGGCUACUGCUAACAUAAAAUGAGCAAAGAAAAAUACAGUGCAUGUGCUUUCCUGAAAAUUUUAUUUUCUCCUGAUAAGUAGGAGUAAGAAAGCCAGCACUCAGAGAACACAGCAGGUUAUCAGGGAGGUUGGUUUGGCUGGCAUAGAAAUCAUUUUUCAGAUUAUAUGAUUUUCCAUUAACUAUUGACUGCAUAAUCAGUUGGAGAAGUUAGACUCUUCUGAGAAAGGUAAGAGUCAUGCAAGCUGUUUGAUCCAACACGAGCACUUCAUCCUCGCCUGAAGCAGCUGGGUGAAUGAACAUCACUUUUCUCUUCUGUGUGUGAUGUGGGUUCCGAGUCAGCAUUAUAAAACAAGCCUCUUCACCUGCUGCUUUGCCUCAUUACAUUUCCAUAGCCCAAAUUGGAUCAAGCACCAGCGGAAAAAUCCCCACACCCAACAGUGCAAGCAUGGGCUUGCCUCGGCCCCGUGCUCCGUAGCCAGUGGGUGCUGAGAGACCCCUUCCCGGCCCCUGGCUGCUCCUAGCACCCAACCCACAGCUCAGAAGCCCUGGGUCUGCCCGUUCUGCCCUGCGCUCUUCAUGCUGGUGGUGCUCGCCUGUGUAGGUACGUGGACUUGGCAAAUAAUAUUUGUGGCUGUAUAGAGACGUUCUGCAAUCUGGUCAUUCAUGCAUGGUCUUGAUUAGAAUGUAGUUACCAAGAGUUGGCUCUGGUGUUAUUUUUGGCAAGGUUGGGUAGGCAGAAUUUGAUUUUUGCUUUUUUUCUAAAUGUCCUGCUUUUCCUUUUUUGUGAUGCUGCAGUCUUUUCAAGGCUAUUGGACUCACCACGCAACAUGUGCUCCUUGUUGCCAUGUGUGUUUAUUUUUUGCCUCACAUUCAGAUUAUUAUUAAUAUUGAUGCUCAAAAUAAUUCUUGUGCCGUUUCUAGAAGGAUGUGCAAACUGAGCCACUUUCCAUUUAAUAUUAACUGAAAUUCCCUGGAAUGUUAUCAUCUGCAUGGCAACCAGCAGCCCAUCUGCACCUAAUGGCAAUGCUACAGAGUGAAGGAGCUUUGCUUGGUAAAUAUGCAUUGUGAAAAUCCUCAUCAGAUCUGAUCUUGGGCAUGGUGGGAAAAGCCACUCUUUCCCUAAAAGCAGCAGCAGGUCCCAUCACAUUUCACCUGUGAAUAAUGGACAGCAGUGAUUCACCCUGCAGUUAGUCUCAUAAAAGUCCACUCUUUAUUCUAUAAGACGAACAGGAGUGAUAAUUUUAUAGACAAGCGUUGUUGUUGGUAAGCCCUUUCUGGGUCAGCUUAUACCAACACGUGUAACCCCUCCCGGCGUGCUCCCAGCUUCACCCAGCCUGGCAGAUCUACGAGGCAGCUCAAAGGUAGGCGCUGGAGCGGGGUGUUAGAGGGGACGUGCUGGACCAGACGCAUCUUCAGAGUUGGGUACAAAACUGCACAUGAACCAUGUAUCUAAACUUAGGAGUCCUGAGCUCUACUAUUUAAGGGAAAAAGAAGAGUAUCAAGUGCUUGCCAGGGAGGAAGAAACAUCCAAGUGCUAGUCAGAGAAAGGAUCUUCACAUCUGCUGGUCUUCUGCCCAGGGGUGAUACCAGUGCAGGUUCCCUAUUUGGGGUUAUGCCUUCCCUCAAGUUAAUGGUACUCUUCUGCUUACAAAAAUCUGUACAGUAUUUAUUUUGCUGUAUAUUAACUAUUCCUCUUCUGUUUUUUCUACAUACAUGGCUGCUUCAGCUGCUUUAUGUGUUAAUGCAGUACUUUCCAUUAAGCGGUCCUAUGAGUACAUCAAAAAUAAACACUCUUAUAACAACAUGCAUAAGAUUAAACUG